GGGUAUAUAGCUGAAGUGGAAGAGCACAUGCUUAGCAUGCACGAGGUCCUAGGUUCAAUCCCCAGUACUUCCU
rnacentral:tRNA from 1 species